rnacentral:rRNA from 1 species
UACAGAGGUGGCAAGCGUUGUUCGGAUUUACUGGGCGUAAAGGGUGCGUAGGUGGCUUUGUGUGUCGGGCGUGAAAUCCCACUGCUCAACGGUGGAACGCCGCCCGAAACUGCAGGGCUAGAGUGCAGGAGAGGAGAGCGGAAUUCUUGGUGUAGCGGUGGAAUGCGUUGAUAUCAAGAAGAACACCAGUGGCGUAGGCGGCUCUCUGGAAUGCAACUGACACUGAGGCACGAAAGCGUGGGGAGCAAACAGG